rnacentral:tRNA from 1 species
GCCUGGGUGGCUCAGUUGGUUAAGUGUCAGACUUUGGCUCAGGUCAUGAUCUCACAUUUGGUGGGUUCAAACCCCACGUCAGGCU